rnacentral:lncRNA from 1 species
CACCCUGCUCCCUCUGCAGAAGAGCAGAAGAGAAGCCUGCAGCAGGAAGCCUUUGGAGACGGCCUGCGAAGAAGUCCUGCAUGAUCAAACACGAUGCCUGGAGAGCUGGAUUUUAUAAAUAUGCAGCCCUGUCCUCCCAUUUCCUCUUCUUUUAGCUUCUGAGAAGACUGCAGCCAUCUCAGCCUUAUGGGACAGGAUUGGCUCGUGGCCACAGAUUUCACACUUGGUUUCAUGAGCAAAACCUAAACAGGCCCCGACUGCAGAGACCGUUGUGAGCAGCUGAGCUGCAGAUGGAUUUCUGGGGAGGGCAAGAGAGGUCUGGACAGGCCUCAACGCUUAGAAUUCCUGCAGUUCAUAGGGGAACAGACACAUCACAGGAAAUCAAGAUACUCACUGACUGCUUAAGAAAGACCAACUAG